UUACGUCCAUAUCACUUUGAAGCACCGGUUCUCGUACGAUCACUAAAGUUAAGCAACGUCGAAACUGGUCAAUACCUAGACGGGUGACCGCUUGCGAAUACCAGAUGUU